rnacentral:rRNA from 1 species
GGUCCGUAGCGUUUUUGACGUGCAAAUCAAUCGUCAGACUUGGGUAUAGGGGCGAAAGACUAAUCGAACCAUCUAGUAGCUGGUUCCCUUCGAAGUUUCCCCCAGGAAAGCUGGUGUCGUGUCAGACAGUUUCGUCUGGUAAAGCGAAUGAUUAGAGGAAUUGGGGAUGAAUUGUCCUCGACCUAUUCUCAAACUUUAAAUGGGUGAUAAGAGCUCGUACACUGCUUAACUUUAUGAGUGUCGAGCCUAAAUGCAAUGGCACCAAGUGGGCCACUUUUGGUAAGCAGAACUGGCGAUGUGGGAUGAACCAAACGUCGAGCUAAGAUGCCCAGAAUGCCUCUCAUGAGACACCAUGAAAGGUGUCAGUCGAUACUGACAGCAGGACGGUGGCCGCAGAAGUAGGAAUCCGCUAAGGAGUGUGUACCAACUCACCUGCCGAAUCGACUGGCCCUGAAAAUGGAUGGCGCUAGAGACGCAUAUCGAUGCUCGACCGUCAACGCCAACACUUCGUGUGCGCGAAUGCUAGAUGGCUUGACGUGUAGAAGGGCGAUUGCGGUGGCGUCGAAACCUGCACCGUGAGGGUGGGGUUGAGCCGCCGCAUGUGCAGAUCUUGGUGGUAGUAGCAAGUAUUCAAAUGAGAGCAUUGAAGACUGAAGUGGAGUAAGGUUCCAUGUGAACAACAUUUGAACAUGGAUCAGCCGAUCCUAAGAGAACGGUUAAGUUCGUGAUUAAGCGCUUAUUGCUUUGUGCAAGGCGAUCGAAAGGGAAUCGGGUUAAUAUUCCCGAGCCAAGAUACGGUUGAUGUGCGACAUUUCAAAAGUGCCUCGUGCACUAAUGGUGUCGGGCAUGAGUGGCAACACCGACAAACCCAGAGAUUAACUAUGCGAAGUCCGGGGAAGAGUUUUCUCUUCUUUGUAAGGAAUGUUAUCCCUGGAAUCAGAUUGUCUGGCGAUAGGGUACGCAUUCCGUAAUGCAGCGCGAUUCGUGCGAUGUACCGUGCGCUUCGUAUAGUGCUUGAAAAUCUGGGGGCGUGAUUAUUCAGGCCGUACCUGUUCGUACUGAUUUCCGCAGCAGGUCUCCAAGGUGAGUAGCCUCUAGUCAAUAGGACAAAGUAGACAAGGGAAGUCGGCAAAUUAGAUCCGUAACUUCGGAAAAAGGAUUGGCUCUAAAGGCUGAGCUGAUCGGGCUGUUGCAAGAAACAGCAUGUUGGGACUUUGCGCUGUCUGCGUUGUUGUUCACUCGCAAGGGUGUCAGCUUCGAGGACGGACUUUGCUUUCGCGUUCUGUGGGUGGUGAUGGCUAUGCCGCUUGGUUGGUUUGGCGUUCGUUAACGCGGCGUCCUGCCUUCGAAGUGGAUCCGAUCAGCGUUAAACAGCUGACCUAGAACUGGUAUGGACAAGAGGAAUCCAACUGUUUAAUUAAAACAAAGCAUUGCGAUAGCUGUAAUCGGUGUUGACGCAAUGUGAUUUCUGCCCAGUGCUGUGAAUGUUAAAGUGAAGAAAUUCAUCAAAGCGCC